rnacentral:rRNA from 1 species
GUGAGUAAUGUCUGGGAAACUGCCUGAUGGAGGGGCAUAAAUACUGGAAACGGGAGCUAAUACCGCAUAACGUCGCAAGACCAAAGAGGGGGACCUUCGGGCCUCUUGCCAUCGGAUGUGCCCAGAUGGGAUUAGCUAGUAGGUGGGGUAACGGUUCACCUAGGCGACGAUCCCUAGCUGGUCUGAUAGGAUGACCAGCCACACUGGAACUGAGAUACGGCCCAGACUCCUACGGGAGGCAGCAGUGGGGAAUAUUGCACAAUGGGCGCAAGCCUGAUGCAGCGACGCCGCGUGAGGGAUGGAGGCCUUCGGGUUGUAAACCUCUUUUAUCGGGGAGCAAGCGAGAGUGAGUUUACCCGUUGAAUAAGCACCGGCUAACUACGUGCCAGCAGCCGCGGUAAUACGUAGGGUGCAAGCGUUAUCCGGAAUUAUUGGGCGUAAAGGGCUCGUAGGCGGUUCGUCGCGUCCGGUGUGAAAGUCCAUCGCUUAACGGUGGAUCCGCGCCGGGUACGGGCGGGCUUGAGUGCGGUAGGGGAGACUGGAAUUCCCGGUGUAACGGUGGAAUGUGUAGAUAUCGGGAAGAACACCAAUGGCGAAGGCAGGUCUCUGGGCCGUUACUGACGCUGAGGAGCGAAAGCGUGGGGAGCGAACAGGAUUAGAUACCCUGGUAGUCCACGCCGUAAACGGUGGAUGCUGGAUGUGGGGCCCGUUCCACGGGUUCCGUGUCGGAGCUAACGCGUUAAGCAUCCCGCCUGGGGAGUACGGCCGCAAGGCUAAAACUCAAAGAAAUUGACGGGGGCCCGCACAAGCGGCGGAGCAUGCGGAUUAAUUCGAUGCAACGCGAAGAACCUUACCUGGGCUUGACAUGUUCCCGACGGUCGUAGAGAUACGGCUUCCCUUCGGGGCGGGUUCACAGGUGGUGCAUGGUCGUCGUCAGCUCGUGUCGUGAGAUGUUGGGUUAAGUCCCGCAACGAGCGCAACCCUCGCCCCGUGUUGCCAGCGGAUUAUGCCGGGAACUCACGGGGGACCGCCGGGGUUAACUCGGAGGAAGGUGGGGAUGACGUCAGAUCAUCAUGCCCCUUACGUCCAGGGCUUCACGCAUGCUACAAUGGCCGGUACAACGGGAUGCGACGCGGCGACGCGGAGCGGAUCCCUGAAAACCGGUCUCAAUUGGGAUCGCAGUCUGCAACUCGACUGCGUGAAGGCGGAGUCGCUAGUAAUCGC